GAUCCUGGCUCAGGAUGAACGCUAGCUACAGGCUUAACACAUGCAAGUCGAGGGGCAGCAUAAUGGAUAGCAAUAUCUAUGGUGGCGACCGGCGCACGGGUGCGUAACGCGUAUGCAACCUACCUUUAACAGGGGGAUAACACUGAGAAAUUGGUACUAAUACCCCAUAAUAUCAUAGAAGGCAUCUUUUAUGGUUGAAAAUUCCGAUGGUUAGAGAUGGGCAUGCGUUGUAUUAG
rnacentral:rRNA from 1 species